CAGGGACUCGCAAGACUCCUACAAACCCUGUUGAAACUUAACUAUAAGCACGUUUGCUUCGGCGGGUGUCCUCGGCGAGGGGUCCUCCCCUCCCCGGGGCGCUAAGCCCGCCGGCAAGCCCUACUAUACUCUGUCCCUCUUUGCGUUUGGCAUCUCGAGUACAAUCAAAACAAGUUUAA
rnacentral:misc_RNA from 1 species